UACGUAGGGGGCAAGCGUUGUCCGGAUUUAUUGGGCGUAAAGAGCGUGUAGGCGGUUUGGUAGGUCCGCUGUGAAAACUCGAGGCUCAACCUCGAGACGCCGGUGGAAACCAUCAGGCUAGAGUCCGGAAGAGGAGAGUGGAAUUCCUGGUGUAGCGGUGAAAUGUGCAGAUAUCAGGAGGAACACCGGUGGCGAAGGCGGGUCUCUGGGCCGAUACUGACGCUGAGGAGCGAAAGCGUGGGGAGCGAACAGG
rnacentral:rRNA from 1 species